GACGAACGCUGGCGGCGUGCCUAAUACAUGCAAGUAGAACGCUGAAGGAGGAGCUUGCUUCUCCGGAUGAGUUGCGAACGGGUGAGUAACGCGUAGGUAACCUGCCUGGUAGCGGGGGAUAACUAUUGGAAACGAUAGCUAAUACCGCAUAAGAGUAGAUGUUGCAUGACAUUUGCUUAAAAGGUGCAAUUGCAUCACUACCAGAUGGACCUGCGUUGUAUUAGCUAGUUGGUGGGGUAACGGCUCACCAAGGCGACGAUACAUAGCCGACCUGAGAGGGUGAUCGGCCACACUGGGACUGAGACACGGCCCAG
rnacentral:rRNA from 1 species